UCGUGGAGUGAUCUGUCUGCUUAAUUGCGUUUCACUUAUGGAUUGUACAUGUCUACACUGUAGUGUUAGACCGCACUGGCUAUUUAGUUGGUGUUCGAGUCCGCUACGGCAAGCAUUGCAAUCCUAGAAGGCAACGAACGUGACCGCAACCUCUUGUUGCCUCCCACGCACUUGGGCUGCUCUGAUAUUUAAAUUUUCUUUUUUGGAAAUUUAUUUUCAGAUGU
rnacentral:rRNA from 1 species